rnacentral:lncRNA from 1 species
UUUGCAGGGCAAUUUUGCAAUAUCUAUCAACACUAACACACAUGCCCUUAGACCCAGAAAUCCCCUUCCUGGGAGUUCACCCAACAGAUAUAUUCCCACAGCUAUAUAAAGAUAAUUAAUGUGUCACAUAAAGAUAUUUACUGCAGCAUACUUUACAGAUAAGAAGAUCCAUGUUCAGAAAGUUCAAAUACCUUGCGUAAGGUUGCUUGGUAUUAAGCGGGGAGCUGGAUCUCAAAUCCAGACUUUCUGAUUUUUCUUUUUUCUUAAAACAGCUGUGUCUCAUCCUCUUGUGCUUGCUCUUUGCUAGGUCUUAAUGAUAAAUUCAAAUGACAGUAUCUGGAUUUUAACAGGUUCAGAAUUUCACUCUUUUCAUUUUCACAAGGGAUCCAAAGAUCCUGUAUUACCCCAGGCUAGUGAAAGAGCUAGUGCUAAGUAGGGAGAACUUUCUGGGACCCUCAAAUCACAGAAUCUCAGUGCUCACCAGCUGAGCCUCAGGCCCACAUUGACGCACUCAUUUCCUUCCCCAGGGGCUCCCACUCUCUCUCCCAGUGACUCACUCUCUCUCCCUCUACCUUCCCUCUUCUCAGUCAUGCUCAUCUGCUCCCCACCCAGCCUUGCCACACCAGGGCCCUCCUCUCUGCCCUCAGGGUGACCAGAGGAAAAGUCACAGGACUGGGGAGAAAUUGAGCCCCAUCUCUUGGGGUUAGAUGGUUCCAGCAUCUAAUCUAAGUGAGUCUCUGGAGCUGGAGCAAAAGUGGUUCGGGCAGGGGGAAAUGUGGGAGAAAGGCCAAGGCUGGCCCUGGCCACAGCUCCCAGGUUGGGUGCAAGAGUGAGGGAGGUAUGAGACGGGUCAAGAAGGCCUGAAGUGGGGACGAAGAAGCUGUAAUGGUGGAGGGGCUGGGCAGGCAGCAGAGGUGGAGUGCAGACCAUGCUGGACCAAAGCAGAAGCUGGACAGACACAGGCACUGAGGAGUUGGGGAAGGGGGUUCCUGUGGUUACUGUUGCUGUCUCCCUGCAGAAGCCAGAGGUCAAGUUCAGGGUGCUGGUCUCCAAGCCACAGAGCCAACAUGGGCAACUCAGGUGAAAAGAGGCAUUGACCAGAAGAUGGGAUCACAGAAUGAAACAGCAAAAGCUCAAGUCAGAAAGGCAUGAGAAAGGGCAGCUGCAGGGACUGAGGGAGCAAGAACGGACCCAACGUCUCUCAGGAUGCCUCCGGCAUGAGUCAGCACCAGCAACAUUUCUAGUCUCACGCAGUCCAGGAGUCAAAGUCCAAGAGAGAGGGCCUCAUUGCCCAGAUGGAGUCACAUGCCCUCAUAUCCUGUCUAGUGAGGAAUGCUUCCCCAGAAAGCACCUGACCUUGGACUCAUAUUUCUCCAGAAGGAAAUGGGGCUGCUGCAUUCAGAAGAAAGAAUGAAUGCUGAGAGAUCAGGCAACCAAAAGUCGUCGUUCCAAUCUGAGCGUGGAGGGACCAACCUCCAAAUCUAUCCCAAAAAUGAAGAUUUGAAUUGCUCAAUGGCUACAAAAAUGUCCAAAAGAUAUUGUGCCAAAUUGCCAACAAGUCCCAAGCACUUCCUUUAAUUUAACCAUUUCUGGGGAUUUCAUCAAGUCUUAUAGCUCAUGGUAAAGGCUGCUGGCCAUAGUGAAACAAGAAAUGUAAAGCUCUGUGCUUCGCUGGAAGCAGCCGUUGGAGGCCCACCCAGCCCACAGUCGCUUCACGCCCAGGGGUGUAAAGGGCUGGAAUUCUUCCCCAGCUGGACCAAGCAAUGUCCCUACUUACACAGAGGAUAUACAAGCACAAGGGUGCA